rnacentral:lncRNA from 1 species
GCAGAGGGAGAAGCAGGCUCCUCGAGGAGCCCGAUACAGAACUCGAUCCCAGGACCCAGGAUCAUACCCUGAGCUGAAGGCAGAUGCUUGACUGCUGAGCCACCCAGGCGCCCCAGAAUAUUCCAAUUUUCUUAAUUUUAAAGUGCUCUUUAAAGUAAAGAAUUAUAUGAAAAAAAAAUGCCUACAAUUGGCAAAUGACUUGGACAAUUUACAGAGAAAGACAAAGAGCCAUUAAACACUGAAAAGAUGGUCACUCUCAUUCAUGGUAAAACAAAUACAAAUUACAAUUUAAGGAACGGCACCUUAAUCUCCCCAAUUCAAAAAUUGUUAGACAAUUCAUCAUGCUGGUAAGAGUGCAAAGCGCCCCCGUCAGAAGGAACCACAUGAAAUACCAGGAUUUGGCUUUCCUACAAGGUUGGCCAUUUAACAUGGGUCAGCUGACUGUGGUGUUGGGGGGGGUGUAAGUUGGUACAUUGGCAACAGAGGGCAACCUGGCCACCCUGACCAAAGGAAAUAUAUCUAAACAUUUACUGAGCAAAUCUAGAUAAUGCAAGAUGAUCAUAAAGGAUUACUGUGGCAUGAAUAUUCAUUAUGGGAAAAUUCUGGAAAACACUUAAUACACCCAUCAGCAGAAACAACCACACCACAUGCAUCCCUCGGUGGAAACCACAAAGCUGUAGGAAGAAUGAAGAGGCUCUUUCUGUACCAUUAGAGUAUAUAAUGUCCAAUUUAUUGAUACUGCAAAAAGCAAAGUGAGAAUGGUACCCAUUGUGUGCUACCAUUUGUUUGAAAUAAAAAGGUCGGGAGUGGGGCUGGGGCUGGAUGUGUGAGAUAGGAACAUGUGUGUGCACAUGUUGAAUAUUUUUGGGGAAAAAAAGAAAAACAACUCUGGUUGUCUCCAGGAAGAGGGAGCAAAGACUUGAAGGGUGAAGGUGGACAGACAUAUGCCUUGUGUAAGAAUCCUCUUCCGGAUCUUUUGCAUUUUGUACCAUGUGCAUGUAUUUAUUCAUUUUUUUAAGCCUCUCUUCCUUCACACCACAGGCAGGUUUUUUAAAAAAAAUGUAUUUAUAUAUUUUAAAGAUCUUAUUUAUUUAUUCACAAGAGAUACUGAGAGAGAGGCAGAGACAUAGGCAGAGGGAGAAGCAGGCUCCCUGUGGGGAGCCCGAUGUCGAAUUUGAUCCCAGGACCCAGGGAUCAUGCCCUGAGUUGAAGGCAGACCCUCAACCACUGAACCACCCAGGCACCCGCAUAGGCAGGUUUUAAUCUAAAUAAUAAUUGCUCUGAGUUUGUCCUGCUAUAGGCUGUUCUUGUAUGGAGUCAGCUUCUUACCCUAGUAUGUGAAAAGUUGGGUGGGUGACACGUGGAAGCAGUGAUGACCCUAUCAAAUAGGAUAGAAAUUCAUUGUCUAAGGAAAUAAAAUACGUUAGAAGGGGCCACAUAAUGUGCCCCGAAAGAGAGAGACGGUGGCAGGGGAGGGCCAGUGGGAGCUUUCAAGGCAUUACCUCUGGUCACAUGUGGUUCCAGUCCCACCAAUCAUUUCUGAAAUGUGACCCCAGAACGUGGAGAAUGUCAAAUG